rnacentral:rRNA from 1 species
UACGUAGGUGGCAAGCGUUGUCCGGAUUUACUGGGCGUAAAGGGCGCGUAGGCGGCCUGCUAAGUCGAACGUGAAAUCCCCGGGCUCAACCCGGGAACUGCGUCCGAUACUGGCAGGCUUGAAUCCGGGAGAGGGAUGUGGAAUUCCAGGUGUAGCGGUGAAAUGUGUAGAGAUCGGGAGGAACACCGGUGGCGAAGGCGGGUCUCUGGGCAAUUCCUGACGCUGAGGCGCGAAAGCGUGGGGAGCAAACGGG